rnacentral:rRNA from 1 species
GGUAUUGAAAUAAGAUUUUAAAUGGGUGCUAAGAGAAUGAUUAAACAAUUAUAGACUUUCUUUAAUUAAAUAAUUAAAUUUAAUUUUUUUAGUGCAAAAGCAAAAAUAAAAAUUAGGGACAAGAAGACCCUAUGAAUUUUUUUAUUUUUUAAAUAAAUUUUAUUAAAUUUAUUAAAAAAUUUAAUUGGGGUGAUGAAAAAAGAAUAAAUAUCUUUUUAUGUAUUAAAAAUUGGUUCCGUUUUUAACGAUUAAAUGAAAAAAAUACUCUAGGGAUAACAGCGUAAUAAUUUUGGAUAGUUCAUAUAGAUGAAAUAGUUUGCGACCUCGAUGUUGGAUUAGGAUUC